CCUACGGGUGGCAGCAGUGAGGGAUAUUGGUCAAUGGGGGAAACCCUGAACCAGCAACGCCGCGUGAGGGAAGACGGUUUUCGGAUUGUAAACCCCUGUUCUUUGGGAAGAUAAUGACGGUAGCAGAGGAGGAAGCACCGGCUAACUACGUGCCAGCAGCCGCGGGAAUACGUAGGGAGCCAGCGUUAUUCGGAUUUACUGGGUGUAAAGGGUGCGUAGGCGGGUAAGCAAGUCAGAAGUGAAAUCCUUGGGCUUAACCAUUGAACUGCUUUUGACACUGUUUAUCUUGAGUGUGGGAGAGGUAGGCGGAAUUCGUGGUGUAGCGGUGAAAUGCGUAGAGAUCAGGAGGAACACCAGUGGCGAAGGCGGCCUACUGGAGCUUAACUGACGCUGAUGCACGAAAGCGUGGGUAGCAAACAGGAUUAGAUACCCUAGUAGUC
rnacentral:rRNA from 1 species